UGGUCACAUUACGUUGAAACAACGGUUCUUGAACGAUCACCGAAGUUAAGCAACGUCAAGCCUGGUCAGUACCUGGAUGGAUCACUUCUUGGGAAUACCAAGUGCUGUAAG